GGGACGUUGCAAGUUGCGAAAAGAAACGGGGAGUACAGAAGUAAACAGUGAUCCGUUUAUAUCCCUAGGAGUAAUCCACUUAAAAAAAGGAAAAAAAACUUGGUGAAGUGAAACAUCUCAGUAACCAAAGGAAUAUAAAUCAACCGAGAUCCCGUGAGUAGUGGUGAGCGAAAAUGGAGAAUACAAAGGUUAUCCAAAAGUCUUAGAAACGCUUUGAAUCAAAGAGGGUAUAGAAGUCCCGUAGGAGUGUGUGACAGGUAUAACAAAGAGUAGAACGGAGCACGAGUAAUUCUGUUUGAAGAAAGAGGGACCACCCUCUAAGUAAAAAUACAUAUUAUUAUCGAUGGUGAGCAAGUACUGUGAAGGAACGGUUGAAAAGUGCACCAGGCGGUGCGAUGAAAUAAUGAAACUAGAAACAUAUUAGCAGUUGGAGCUUUAGAAAAACUAAAGUGACAGCGUACCUUUUGCAUAAGGGGCCAGCGAGUUUUUAUAUUUAGCAAGCUUAAAAAGAGAAUAGGUAGGCGUAGCGAAAGCGAGUUAGAAUAUAGCGAAAGUUAAAUGUGAAAGACCCGAAGCCAAGUGAGCUAACCAUGAGCAGAUUGAAAGAAAGGUAAAACUUUUUGGAGGAUCGAACCGGUGUCUGUAGCAAGAGGCUCGGAUGACUUGUGGUUAGGGGUGAAAGGCCAAACAAACUUGGUGAUAGCUGGUUUUCCGCGAAAUCUAUUGAAGUAGAGUGUUACUUAAUAAUUAUCUGGGGUAGAGUUACUCGUUAAGUGCGGGGGAAGGGAUUCUUACUAAAUUUAGUGAAACUCCGAAUACAGAUAAUCGUAUGGUAGCAAACAGACUGUGGGUGAGAAGGUUCAUGGUCAAAAGGGAAACAGCCCAGACCAUUAGCUAAGGUCUCAAAAUUAUGAUGAAGUGUAUAAGAAAACAAUGUAUGUUGACCAUUAGGAGGUGGGGUUGGAAGCGGCCAUCCUUUAAAGAAAGCGUAACAGCUCACUAAUGUAGUAUAAUUGGAUUCGAAAAUUCUAGGGACUGUAAUCAUAUACCGAAGCUAUGGAUUUAAAUACGAAAGAGAUUUAAGUGGUAGCGGAACGUUUUGUAUGUUGAAGAAGUCAGCUUGUAAAAGCUGGUGGAGAUAUCAAAAGUGAGAAUGCUGGCAUGAGUAACGAUAAACAAUGUGAAAAAGCAUUGUCGCCGAAAGUUUAAGGUUUUCUAUGUAAUGGACGACAGCAUAGAGUUAGACGGCCCCUAAGGUUAAAAUGAAAAUUGAAGCUGAUGGGUAAAAAGAUUAAUAAUUCUUAAUCUGAGCAGAAAGUGACGUGAAGUAUUAUUAUUACAUUUUUGAAUGGAAUAAAGUGUAAUAGUAUACUUCUUCAGGAAAAAACUAUGUUCGCAAAACCGUACUAAAACCGACACUGGUAGAUGGGUAGAAUAUACUCAGGCGAUUGAAAGAACGGUGCUGAAGGAACUCGGCAAAAUAGCUCUGUAACUUAGGGAGAAAGAGUGCCACAGUUCGCUGUGGUGGCACAGAAUUGGGGGUAGCGACUGUUUAACAAAAACACAGGACUCUGCUAAGUUGAAAAACGAUGUAUAGGGUCUGACACCUGCCCGGUGCUGUAAGGUGAAAAGGAAGAAUGAAAGUUCAGAAUUGAAGUCACAGUAAACGGCGGCUGUAACCAUGACGGUCCUAAGGUAGCGAAAUUCCUUGUCGGGUGAGUUCCG
rnacentral:rRNA from 1 species